CAGUAGCCGCGGUAAUACGGAGGGUGCAGGCGUUAAUCGGAAUUACUGGGCGUAAAGCGCACGCAGGCGGUCUGUCAAGUCAGAUGUGAAAUCCCCGGGCUUAACCUGGGAACUGCAUUUGAAACUGGCAGGCUAGAGUCUUGUAGAGGGGGGUAGAAUUCCAGGUGUAGCGGUGAAAUGCGUAGAGAUCUGGAGGAAUACCGGUGGCGAAGGCGGCCCCCUGGACAAAGACUGACGCUCAGGUGCGAAAGCGUGGGGAGCAAACAGGAUUAGAUACCCCAGUAGUCCCUGUCUCUUAUAC
rnacentral:rRNA from 1 species